GACGAACGCUGGCGGCGUGCUUAACACAUGCAAGUCGAACGGAAAGGCCCUGCUUUUGUGGGGUGCUCGAGUGGCGAACGGGUGAGUAACACGUGAGUAACCUGCCCUUGACUUUGGGAUAACUUCAGGAAACUGGGGCUAAUACCGGAUAGGAGCUCCUGCUGCAUGGUGGGGGUUGGAAAGUUUCGGCGGUUGGGGAUGGACUCGCGGCUUAUCAGCUUGUUGGUGGGGUAGUGGCUUACCAAGGCUUUGACGGGUAGCCGGCCUGAGAGGGUGACCGGCCACAUUGGGACUGAGAUACGGCCCAGACUCCUACGGGAGGCAGCAGUGGGGAAUAUUGCACAAUGGGCGGAAGCCUGAUGCAGCAACGCCGCGUGCGGGAUGACGGCCUUCGGGUAGUAAACCGCUUUCGCCUGUGACGAAGCGUGAGUGACGGUAAUGGGUAAAGAAGCACCGGCUAGCUACGU
rnacentral:rRNA from 1 species